rnacentral:lncRNA from 1 species
AAUUAUAUUUUUUUUGACAAGGCCAUCAGUCUUAUGCCUAUGUACCAACAUAAAAAUGAGGGAUCCAAACCCCGUAGUUCAUGGUAAAAAUUUCAAAGAAGUUGGUGUAUUGAUUUUAAUCAAGAGUUUAGAAGGAAAAGUACAAAAGCGGCCAAAGAUUUGAAUGGGGUUGUUAGUUUUUUUUUGUCUUUUUGAAAUUAAAGUCAAUAUGGUUAAGUUCAUUAACAAGUUUGAUUUAAGAAAAAAAAGUUUAAAA